rnacentral:rRNA from 1 species
GCGUGGGUGAAGAAGGUCUUCGGAUUGUAAAGCCCUUUCGGCGGGGACGAUGAUGACGGUACCCGCAGAAGAAGCCCCGGCUAACUUCGUGCCAGCAGCCGCGGUAAUACGAAGGGGGCUAGCGUUGCUCGGAAUUACUGGGCGUAAAGGGCGCGUAGGCGGCCUGCUUAGUCCGGCGUGAAAUUCCUGGGCUCAACCUGGGGACUGCGCUGGAGACGGGUGGGCUUGAGGGCAGGAGAGGCUCGCGGAAUUCCCAGUGUAGAGGUGAAAUUCGU